GAUGAACGCUAGCGGCAGGCCUAAUACAUGCAAGUCGAACGGUGUCUUCGGACAUAGUGGCGCACGGGUGCGUAACACGUAUGCAACCUACCUUACAUUGGGGGAUAGCCUUUCGAAAGGGAGAUUAAUACCGCAUAAGACAGUAACUAGGCAUCUAGUAGCUGUUAAAGAUUUAUCGAUGUAAGCUGGGCAUGCGUCCAAUUAGCUAGUUGGUGAGGUAACGGCUCACCAAGGCAAUGAUUGGUAGGGGAACUGAGAGGUCAAUCCCCCACACUGGCACUGAGAUACGGGCCAGACUCCUACAGGAGGCAGCAGUAGGGAAUAUUGGGCAAUGGACGCAAGUCUGACCCAGCCAUGCCGCGUGCAGGAUGAAGGCGUUAUGCGUUGUAAACUGCUUUUAUACAGGAAGAAACGACUCUUGCGAGAGGCAUUGACGGUACUGUAUGAAUAAGCACCGGCUAACUCCGUG
rnacentral:rRNA from 1 species